rnacentral:misc_RNA from 3 species
AACGCAAGUUGCGCCCGGAGCCUUCUGGCCGAGGGCACGUCUGCCUGGGCGUCACGCAUCGUUGUCCCCACCCACACAACUCCCCCGCCCACCGUGCGGGCUCGUUGUGCGGGCGAGGGCACACACUGGCCUACCGUGCGCACCGUCGUGCGGAUGGCUUAAAUUCGAGUCCUCGACGCUCGUCGUCGCGACACUACGGUGGUUGAUCCAACCUCGGUGACGCGUCUCGGCCUCGACGUCGCCUCCACGGACUCCUGCAUGACCCUCCGAACGUCGCCCCCGCAAAGGGACGACACUCUCGACGCGACCCCAGGUCAGGCGGGACUACCCGCUGAGUUUAA